rnacentral:rRNA from 1 species
CUUGGUCAUUUAGAGGAAGUAAAAGUCGUAACAAGGUCUCCGUUGGUGAACCAGCGGAGGGAUCAUUAGCGAGUUAACUACAAACUCCAAACCCGUGUGAACCUACCUAUUGUUGCCUCGGCAGGUCGUGCUAUACGGUUCCUGGCAGCUUUCCUGGGGCCGACCUACCCUGGAGUAGAGCUACCCUGGAGUAGAGCUACCCUGGAGUAGAGCUACCCUGGAGUAGAGCUACCCUGGAGUAGAGCUACCCUGGAGUAGAGCUACCCUGGAGUAGAGCUACCCUGGAGUAGGAAGGCCUUCCCCCGCAGCUGGCUCACCCUAGACAGGGGUUACCCUGGAGUUGAAAUAGCCUCUGGAGAGAGACCAUCCCUAGCGGUGAGCCGAGCUGGCGGCAGAAGUGCAGCCUACCCUAUAGUACAAAAAACCUGGCCUGCCGAAGGACCCCUAAACUCUGUUUAAUAACUGCAUCUCUGAGAAUAUCAUACAAAAAACAAGUUAAAACUUUCAACAACGGAUCUCUUGGUUCUGGCAUCGAUGAAGAACGCAGCGAAAUGCGAUAAGUAAUGUGAAUUGCAGAAUUCAGUGAAUCAUCGAAUCUUUGAACGCACAUUGCGCCUAAUAGUAUUCUGUUAGGCAUGCCUGUUCGAGCGUCAUUUCAACCCCCAAGCCCUACCUGCUUGACGUUGGGAGCUUACAGCUGCUGUAACUCCUUAAAUUUAGUGGCGGAGCCGGGUCGUGCUCUGAGCGUAGUAAUAUCACUCUCGCUUCUGAUGCCGUCCCGUAUCCUGCCGUAAAACCCCCUAAAUUUAUUCUGGUUGACCUCGGAUCAGGUAGGAAUACCCGCUGAACUUAAGCAUAUCAAUAAGCGGAGGA